rnacentral:rRNA from 1 species
GAUGAACGCUGGCGGCGUGCCUAAUACAUGCAAGUCGAGCGAACGGACGAGAAGCUUGCUUCUCUGAUGUUAGCGGCGGACGGGUGAGUAACACGUGGAUAACCUACCUAUAAGACUGGGAUAACUUCGGGAAACCGGAGCUAAUACCGGAUAAUAUUUUGAACCGCAUGGUUCAAAAGUGAAAGACGGUCUUGCUGUCACUUAUAGAUGGAUCCGCGCUGCAUUAGCUAGUUGGUAAGGUAACGGCUUACCAAGGCAACGAUGCAUAGCCGACCUGAGAGGGUGUUCGGCCACACUGGAACUGAGACACGGUCCAGACUCCUACGGGAGGCAGCAGUAGGGAAUCUUCCGCAAUGGGCGAAAGCCUGACGGAGCAACGCCGCGUGAGUGAUGAAGGUCUUCGGAUCGUAAAACUCUGUUAUUAGGGAAGAACAUAUGUGUAAGUAACUGUGCACAUCUUGACGGUACCUAAUCAGAAAGCCACGGCUAACUACGUG